UACGAAGGGGGCUAGCGUUGCUCGGAAUCACUGGGCGUAAAGCGCACGUAGGCGGAUUGCUAAGUCAGGGGUGAAAUCCUGGAGCUCAACUCCAGAACUGCCUUUGAUACUGGCGAUCUUGAGUCCGGGAGAGGUGAGUGGAACUGCGAGUGUAGAGGUGAAAUUCGUAGAUAUUCGCAAGAACACCAGUGGCGAAGGCGGCUGACUGGUCCGGAUCUGACGCUGAGGCGCGAAAGCGUGGGGAGCAAACAGGG
rnacentral:rRNA from 1 species